GGGAGCGACGCCAAUGGCGACUCCACCCCGAGAGAGCCAGCCCUAAUAGGUCCCUCCCCACACAGUCCAACCCCCUCCCUUCCCCACCCAGAUCCGGCUUCACCGGAGGUCAACAUUCCGGCAGGACCAUCGCCGGCCCCGGAUGGCCCAGCAGAGAGUGAGCCCCCAACAACUCCAAGGAAGCAUCCCCGCCACCAAGACAGCUGCCAGGGAUUCAAGUCGUGCAACAAGAGGCGACAACUAGGACAGCCCCAAGGUUCGAGGUCAACGGAUCCGGUCGGUGGCGGCCAUCCUCUUCCUGAAUCUCGCUCAAGAUUUGCAAUUAAUAGUGGAGAUUCAAGAGGGGAAGCGGAGUGCGGGGCUCGAUGCAGCGGACCAGAGCAUGCCGGAUCCGCUGGUCCUAGGAGGGAAGAAGCACUCAGAGCUCGAUGCGGCGGACGGGAGCUCACCGAAUCCACUGGUCCAAGAUCUGCUCCAACACCCUCUACACGAGAUAAUCUCGACGCGAUUCGUCUUCACCACACCACCGGCUAGCAAGGACAACCAAUUUACUGCUCACGGGAAGCGAUUCACUGGCGCGGAGUAGGGGAAGGGGAUGGAUAUGGCGCAAGCAGUAGAGAAGCAUUCAAUCCUGGAGAAAGCAGUAGGCGAAAGCAGUACAAGAAUGAGCUGGGCGCAAUAGAGAAUUGAAGGCUUGCGACACGGCCAAUCACAUCCACAUACGGCAGGAACUAGACAUUGGGAAGAGGCGCAGCACCAUCGCAGACAAGCCCCUCACAACAAUCCGUUGCAUUCAUCGACUACAAGGCGUCAGCUGCAGGAAGAUGAGGGCUUCAGAGAAGUUAAAUCGCCAUACUGGUGGCGCAAAGAAAAGCAACAUUCAAGAGGAAGCCCUGAGCAGCACCAACCAAGGAUGACAAAACAGAGGAGGAUGAAAUUCAUGUCUCAUGCCCAAGGAAAAUGCCUCAACUACUUCUCAAUGGAUCACAGGGUUGCACACUGCAGAAACAUCACUAAAUGCUAGAAAUGUUUGAAUUCCGGGCACAAAGCUCUCUCCUGCCUUGCCUGGGUGAGCAGAUUUAAGCAGCCUCAACACAGCAGCAAACCACUUCUCAGCCCUCCUACGGCCAAGCCUUUGCCCCGGACGGCCGCACCUACCUUCAAGCAGCAAAGGACGAAGCUGCUCCCAUGGCAGCGUACCCGGGUGACCCGCAUGCUCGCC
rnacentral:lncRNA from 1 species